GCGCCGUUAGUGUAACGGUUAUCAUUCAGACCUUCCAUCUACUGAGAGAUAGUCUGAGACUCGGGUUCGACUCCCGAACGGCGCA